UACGGGGGGGCAAGCGUUGUUCGGAAUUACUGGGCGUAAAGGGCUCGUAGGCGGCCAACUAAGUCAGACGUGAAAUCCCUCGGCUUAACCGGGGAACUGCGUCUGAUACUGGAUGGCUUGAGUUUGGGAGAGGGAUGCGGAAUUCCAGGUGUAGCGGUGAAAUGCGUAGAUAUCUGGAGGAACACCGGUGGCGAAGGCGGCAUCCUGGACCAACACUGACACUGAGGAGCGAAAGCCAGGGGAGCAAACAGG
rnacentral:rRNA from 1 species